GAGACAGCAGUCGCCACGGGAAUACGGAGGGUGCAAGCGUUAAUCGGAAUUACUGGGCGUAAAGCGCACGCAGGCGGUCUGACAAGUCAGAUGUGAAAUCCCCGGGCUUAACCUGGGAACUGCAUUUGAAACUGUCAGGCUGGAGUCUUGUAGAGGGGGGUGGAAUUCCAGGUGUAGCGGUGAAAUGCGUAGAGAUCUGGAGGAAUACCGGUGGCGAAGGCGGCCCCCUGGACAAAGACUGACGCUCAGGUGCGAAAGCGUGGGGAGCAAACAGGAUUAGAUACCCCAGUAGUCCCUGUCUCUUAUAC
rnacentral:rRNA from 1 species